GGCGGACGUAGACAAGUGGAUUAAGGCAGUGGAUUG
rnacentral:tRNA from 1 species